rnacentral:rRNA from 1 species
UACAGAGGUGGCAAGCGUUGUUCGGAAUUACUGGGCGUAAAGGGCUCGUAGGUGGCCAACUAAGUCAGACGUGAAAUCCCCAGGCUCAACUUGGGAACUGCGUCUGAUACUGGAUGGCUUGAAUUCGGGAGAGGGAUGCAGAAUUCCAGGUGUAGCGGUGAAAUGCGUAGAUAUCUGGAGGAAUACCGGUGGCGAAGGCGGCAUCCUGGACCGAGAUUGACACUGAUGAGCGAAAGCCAGGGGAGCAAACGGG